AUCCAGUUGAUGAGUCCCAAACAGGACAAAGUGAGAAUCCUGGAU
rfam:Schistosoma mansoni strain Puerto Rico chromosome 1, complete genome